UUAGAAAUUGCCAAUGUGUUAUCCAACAAAUUAAACGGCGAGUUUUGCCAUUUUGCUGUAUCAGAAGCAGGGAUUAGGGAAGGAGGAGAAAGAUGACGGUGACGUCAUCAAUACCAGCAGCAUCCAUUGCACUGGCUACAACAUUUGUGUGGAGAAGAAGAAGAGCUGCAAGUAUGAUUGUUUAUGCGAAAGGAAGAGGAGACAAUCGAAAGCCCUUGCAGAAAGGUAGGAACCUCAGCAUCGAAGCUAUCCAGGCCAUCCAGGCAUUGAAAAGAUCCUACUACUACAAUAACAACAACGCCGACAACUCCCACUCUUUCCGCCAUGUUAUCCGCUCCAAAUUCAGCCGCUUGCUGAAGCUCGAUAUGUUGGCAGUUCUCCGAGAACUCAUCCGCCAGAAUCACUGCCUUUUGGCCCUCCAGGUUUUUGAAGAUAUUCAGAAGGAGUACUGGUAUAAGCCCCAGCUCUCUUUGUACAAUGAUAUGAUUCAAGUGAUGGCUAGUAAUGGGUAUUUAAAGGAAGUCGAAUUUCUGUGCACGUGUUUGAAAACAGAAAGUAAUUUACUUGGUGAAACUGAGGGGUUUAGUGCUCUGAUGACGACAUUGAUAAAUUCUAACCUACCUAGACUUGCCAUGGAGUGCUAUGAUUUCAUGAAAGCUAUAGGAUAUGAACCUGAUAGGCCAACCUUCAGAAUACUCAUAAAUGGUUUAGAAUCAUUAGGUGAAUCUGGUGCUUCUACUAUUCUAAGGCAGGAUGCGCAAAGAUAUUAUGGUGAAUCACUGGAUUUCUUAGUGGAGGAUGAGGAUGAGAUGAUAGCAAGCAAUAGCUCGGAUGGAAGGUGAAUUAGUUCUUCAUUUUAUGCCUGAUGAGGGAGCAUAAGCCAUCUUUACAUUCAUUCAUGUAAAGCCUUUUGAAGAACCUCAUGGAGUAACAUUGAACCUCUUCCAGAGCUUGUGGGAUUACUUCUGCAGUAUGUUUGAUUUUUCACAUUACCGCAAUUUCAGUGAAUGCUGCCUCUGACAUCUCAAAAUGUUCUUUGGGAAAAUUGCACCAGCCACCAUAAUCUGCUGAAAGCCCAUAAUUUGGAGGACAGAAAUCUGUGGCAGUGAGAAUGAUAGAGGGGCUACCUUGCAGGCACCAUAAGAUGUGAUCUACGCAUCUGACCUCAAAGCAAGCUCCACAGGUACUCCCUUUGUUGAACAACAUACUACUCAAUCCAGCACUAUACUUACCAUAGGUGGCUCUGUGAAUAUCACCAUACCCACAAGCUCCUUCUGCAACACCAAAAAGGCCAUUACACACUUGCAAAACCGUAUAUAUUCAACUCAACUGAGCUUAGCCGAGACUUAAUCCCAUCCUAUCUGAAAUCGACCAUACUUAUGUAUUUCUGCAUUCUCAAUUAGAACCGAGAUGUGUGGAACAUGAAGCCCCAGUAUGAGUUGAAAUGGUGGAACAUUUACCCAAAUGGUAGGACUAGUAAUGAGAAAAGUUACCUAUAGUGAUUGACCCAAAUUGUUCUUUGGUGUAAGUUGCAGUGGCCGUCUUCCAUUCCUCAUCAGUGGCAUUAGUGGCAGCAAUCUUGCAUGUCUGUAACAUGAUCAAGUGCAGAACUAAGGCUUUAAGAGCACCCAUUAGAGAUAAUGAGGCCUAGGAGAAGUCUAAGAUGUACUUAGAUUUGAUUCUUUUAUUCUUGCUUUGCCUUUUCUCUCUUUUGUGGGAGGCUAUGGAGGGAACUUUUCUUUAGGAAAUGACCUGAAUCUCCUUGGCUGAAAUGAAAGCUAUCUUUGCUUUGCUGGUAAGAUUAGACACUCCAUAGAAGAUACUGUUGAAAUUCUCAAAAAGCUACCCUUGGAAGCCUUGAUUCGCAUUGUGGGGACAUGCAGCAGACCCGAGAUCAAGCGUAGUUGAGUCCUUCCGAGACGAUGAAGCACUAUGGCAGACACAAAUAGCGGAAAGCCUUGGAAUUAGAAAGAAGAAUCCGAAACUUUAGCUCAAUUAGGGUUUGAACUUCGAACCCCUUUUUAUAUUAGAUAUUUUUUUAAUGUUAUUUUGGCUCUUCUUUUGAGAUGAAAGAGGAAGAAACUUAAGAGGUGAGACCCACAGGAGCUGAGAAAAGUCAUUACAUUUACACUAGUGGGAGUGGGAGAGACUCAAGUUUGUGUUUGGAAAUCCAGGAUUAUUUGUUUAGGACAGUUUACUAGUGAUUAAAACUUGUUAUUUAGCAG